rnacentral:lncRNA from 1 species
CUGAGGUGAGGCCCAAUACCCCGCAUCUGCAAUAAUUCUGAUGCAAGAGGUCACUGGUGAUUCCACAUGCAGCUGCCUGUAAGAACCACAGCGAUCUCAUUUCCCCAGACUUGUUGUGAAGAAGGAAGAAAAUGGAAGAUGGGGAAGGGUAUGGGUGACACCCAUGGGGACAGACGGAGAGUCAGAAUCAGCAUGUGUGUGCAAUGAUGUACCUUGGCUGGAAACCCCAGUGGCAUGGCUACAAGACACAGGGGCAUCCAAAGAAGAUAUAAGACAAGCAUAGGAGGAGAUGGUGAAGCCAAGACCCAGUGAGGAUAAGUCAAUCACCCAAUGCCACACAGUUGAUGAGAACACAGGCAUGAGAAAGAGAAGCAAUUUGACUAAGAUGGAAAGACAGGCCAAAGUUUCAGGUUCCACGUGGGAGCAAAAGGACACAGCAGUUCCAGCUCUUAUCUUCUGACAAGUUUCAGGCAUAGUGGAAAGAGAAGUAAGUUGCAAGCAUGAUGACAAUUUACCUCUGAAUAGAUCAGCUGUUAUCUCAGAAGAACAAGGACAUUCUCCUCCACAACUAUUAUCACAGUCAAUAAAGUUAAAUUGACACGAUAAUAUUGACCAAUAGAUACUCCAUAUUAAUUUUCUCCAAAUGUCCCAAUAAUGUCCUCCUUAAUCUAGGAUCUUAACAAGGGUCACGGGUCAGGUGAUUAGUUAUCCUCCGCCUUUUCUUUCUUUCAUGACCAGGGCAUUUUUAAGGAGUC